UCUUUUUCUUCCUUUUUGGAACCAAGAUGAAGAAGGAAGAGGGCGUCCCAAGCUUUUCUUUUUCUUCUCUUGAUUGUGGUUCAAAGGAGGAAGAUGGAGGAGGGUGCUCACGACUGGAAUGAGGAGAAAACAUACAUUUUUUUCGAAAUUCCAUGCUCCCUUUUAAUUAGUUAAGAGAUAAGGAUGAGUUCCUAUUUUUUAGGAACUCAUCUUUAUCUCUUCUUUUGGCUAACA
rnacentral:lncRNA from 1 species